rnacentral:lncRNA from 1 species
CCCUAGCGAACACGAAUGGACUUUCUCAUCUCUCUUCUUCCCUUGAAUCUUCCUCAAUUAACAAUAUUCAUAGAGCAAAUGCUACAAUCCUUUGCAACCAUCAUUUGCCAUCUUCACCACCACGUCGGUAAAGGUCCAUUGCAUAUUUUUUAUCAUUGUUCCCAAUAUCUCUAUUUUUUUAUUUUUAUAGGCCAUAUUUUAUGUGCAAAAUUUGCACUGUAUAAGAUCCACACCCAAGGAGAAGC